rnacentral:rRNA from 1 species
CCUACGGGGAGCAGCAGUGGGGAAUAUUGGACAAUGGGGGCAACCCUGAUCCAGCCAUGCCGCGUGUGUGAAGAAGGCCCUCGGGUUGUAAAGCACUUUCAGUGAGGAAGAACGCCUGGUGGUUAAUACCCAUCAGGAAAGACAUCACUCACAGAAGAAGCACCGGCUAAUUCCGUGCCAGCAGCCGCGGUAAUACGGAGGGUGCGAGCGUUAAUCGGAAUUACUGGGCGUAAAGCGCGCGUAGGUGGCUUGAUAAGCCGGUUGUGAAAGCCCCGGGCUCAACCUGGGAACGGCAUCCGGAACUGUCAAGCUAGAGUGCAGGAGAGGAAGGUAGAAUUCCCGGUGUAGCGGUGAAAUGCGUAGAGAUCGGGAGGAAUACCAGUGGCGAAGGCGGCCUUCUGGACUGACACUGACACUGAGGUGCGAAAGCGUGGGUAGCAAACAGGAUUAGAUACCCCUGUAGUC